CAGACGUGACUGAUUGCCUGUUGAGUUCAAUUAUUCCUCCAACGCCUGAAGGAUUCUGAAGAACCCUAACAUUUGCAGGAAGUGACCUUGCUCCCACUCCAUCAUGCAACAGCUGUCAGAGAUGUUUCUGUGGCCCACUCUGUCAGACGAGAAGACGAUUUAUCAGGAAGUUCUGCAUUACCCAAGGCUGUGCUCAGCCUUCUCUGGACAUUGCCUACACAGCAAGUUCCUCUAACUUCGUGCUCCAAGACAGGUCUCUCCUCCAGAGCUGACGGUGGAUUUACAGACCAAAGCAUGUCCCCAUGGAACUCUCACCUCCAGGGGCGUGCCUCGGAACUGCCAUCCUCCAGGGGUGACCUAGGAACUCAUACGCACCAGGACAGCACAUCGAAAGCAUGACCACUUGGCUACUUUUACAACUGAACUCUGCACAGGAAGGUGCCAACUCAACUGCCUGAGAGAGAUUUGGAUAUCCACCUUCCUGUUGACUUGCCCAGAUGUCUAUCACGGUGCCUUCCGUAUCCCAGGAGGACGUUGAACAUUGGCAGGCAUGCCUAGCUGAAAGCCGAUGCACCGAGGCCUGCUCCAUGC
rnacentral:lncRNA from 1 species